UGGGGAAUUUUCCGCAAUGGGCGAAAGCCUGACGGAGCAAUACCGCGUGAGGGAUGACAGCCUUUGGGUUGUAAACCUCUUUUAUCAAGGAGGAAGUUCUGACGUGUACUUGAUGAAUAAGCAUCGGCUAACUCCGUGCCAGCAGCCGCGGUAAGACGGAGGAUGCAAGUGUUAUCCGGAAUCACUGGGCGUAAAGCGUCUGUAGGUGGUUUAAAAAGUCUGCUGUUAAAAAUUGAAGCUUAACUUCAAAGAUGCCGUAGAAACUUUUAAACUUGAGUAUGGUAGGGGUAGAGGGAAUUUCCAGUGGAGCGGUGAAAUGCGUAGAUCUUGGAAAGACCACCAAUGGCGAAGGCACUCUACUGGGCCAUUACUGACACUGAGAGACGAAAGCUAGGGGAGCAAAUGGGAUUAGAUACCCCAGUAGUCCUAGCUGUAAACGAUGGAUACUAGAUGUUGUGUGCAUUGACCCAUGCAGUGUCGUAGCUAACGCGUUAAGU
rnacentral:rRNA from 1 species